UACAGAGGGGGCAAGCGUUGUUCGGAAUUACUGGGCGUAAAGGGCGCGUAGGCGGCCUGUUAAGUCGGACGUGAAAUCCCUCGGCUCAACCGGGGAACUGCGUCGGAUACUGGAUGGCUUGAAUUCGGGAGAGGGAUGCAGAAUUCCAGGUGUAGCGGUGAAAUGCGUAGAUAUCUGGAGGAAUACCGGUGGCGAAGGCGGCAUCCUGGACCGACAUUGACGCUGAACGGCGAAAGCUAGGGGAGCAAACGGG
rnacentral:rRNA from 1 species